rnacentral:rRNA from 1 species
UACAGAGGGUGCGAGCGUUAAUCGGAAUUACUGGGCGUAAAGCGCGCGUAGGCGGCUUUGCAAGUCGGGUGUGAAAUCCCCAAGCUUAACUUGGGAACUGCAUUCGAGACUGCAUUGCUAGAGUAUGGGAGAGGGAAGUGGAAUUUCCGGUGUAGCGGUGAAAUGCGUAGAUAUCGGAAGGAACAUCAGUGGCGAAAGCGACUUCCUGGACCGGUAUUGACGCUGAUGUGCGAAAGCGUGGGGAGCAAACAGG